rnacentral:tRNA from 1 species
GGAGAGGUGGCCGAGUGGCUGAAGGCACAGCUUUGCUAAAGCUGCGUACCCGUUAAAAGGUACCGUGGGUUCGAAUCCCACCCUCUCCGCCA